AGAGUCCUAUUUUCCUUCUGCUUAGGAAAAAAAAAAAGGACAUUCCUGAGAAAUUAAGUUAACUAUUAGCCAAAUCCCCACAAGCUGCUGGCUUGAAUUACAUAACAACUCUGUGAUUCCAGCAGCUAAGGACAGAAAGCCAGCCAGCAUUUCUCAGGCCUCUGUGUGUGUGUGUGUGUGUGUGUGUGUGUGUGUGUGUGUGUGUGUCUGUCUGUCUGUCUGUCUGUCUGUCUCUGUCUCUCUGCCCCUCUCCCUGUCUGUGUCUCUCUCUCUCCCUCUGUGUGUGUCUGUCUGUCUGUCUGUCUCUAUCUGUCCCUCUCCCUGUCUGUGUCUCUCUCUCUCCCUCUGUGUGUGUCUGUCUGUCUCUGUCUAUCUGUCCCUCUCCCUGUCUGUGUCUCUCUCCCUCCCUCUGUGUGUGUGUGUGUGUGUCUGUCUCUGUCUCUCUGCCCCUCUCCCUGUCUGUGUCUCUCCCUCCCUCUGUGUGUGUGUGUGUGUCUGUCUCUGUCUCUCUGCCCCUCUCCCUGUCUGUGUCUCUCUCCCUCCCUCUGUGUGUGUGUGUGUGUCUGUCUCUGUCUCUCUGCCCCUCCCCCUGUCUGUCUCUCCCUCCCUCCGUGUGUGUGUGUGCAUGCACACACGUUUAUGUUCCUGUAUGUGCACAUAUGUGCAUGUGCUUGUGGAAGCCACCAUCUGUCUUUUCAAUUUUAUUUACAGUCUCACAUAGGAUGAGAGUUAGUCUAGGAAGCUCGAUGGCUGACCAGUGGGCCUUGGGAAUCGUCCUGUGGCUGCCUCCCCAGCACUGGGCUUCAAGCACGUGGCACCACACCUGGCCUCUUUAUGUGGGCGCUGGCAACCAAACUCCAGCCCUCAUGCUGGCAAUUUACUCACUGAGCCUUCCCCAUCCCCAUUUCCUCUGAUUUCUUUCAGUUCUCCUGCCCUUCCACCUGCCUGCCCUUCUCCAAGCCCCAGAUACCUCUGCCUUAAGCAGUCUGUUGAGCUUUUUCUUAUUCCUGGACUUUAGAGAUGUGAGGUGCAUCCUGUUACACUAUGUGAUGGCCUGGUUUCACUAAAUACCUGGAGUCUGUGACUCUCCUUCGAAUCCAUAGACCAUUCUCAGAGGCCGGACUCUACAAAGUGCACCGGCAAUCGCUAAUGCAUCAAAUUGUUGUUCCAGGACCACCGAACACAUUAUUUCUGCUGCAGGAGAAAAUGAGGAGGGGAAGCGAGGGCAAAGCUCCUCCAGGAGAGAAACAUGGGGUUUACCCUGCCAGCAGCCAGCAGCCAGCAGCACUCCGACAUGCGAAGCUACCGUAUAGUAAUGACAAAUCAACUCCUGUGGGGGCGCCCCCGUACCCAGGAAGAAGGGCCUGUGGAGUAAGAUGUGGUGGUGCUUUCUUGCAGCAGGAACACCUGAGGACCACGAAAUCGUCAGAAAGCAUGUUGUCCAGGGGUACAACACACUCCUCGAGGUCUUGGGGACUGAGGGCAACUUACAUCUGGUUCUAGUAUGUGAGAGCAAGAGACAUUUCUGUCCACAAAGCAAGGAAAAGCUUCCGGCUUUUCGCUGCUUUGUCCCUUCUGGUAAACGCUCCUUCACCGUGCGGCAUCUGGAUCCUCAAGGAACACGUUCCGUGAAGAAAGGCACCUGGCUUCCCAGUCAGAACACUUCCCCGAAAUCAGAGACCUCUGGUAUUUUUUUUAAAAGUGGUCUACUGUUUCUUUGCCAAGGAUUCUCUUCAUCUCUGUUUGGUGUUUGUUUGUUUGUUUGUUUGUUCGUUCUUCCUUGGCUGGUCUAAUUCCCAGGGAUCCAUCAAGAUUGAGUGAAGGCCUUGCCCACGCCUGUACACGUUAUUUGUUUAUCUGAAGUUCUCCCACAUGCUGAUUUGAUGUGCUCUGCUGUGCAGGUUAGACACAGCCCGAGAGCAUCAGUGGAAAGAUGGGCGGGACCAUGUUUCUCUCCAUAAUCGACAUGGCCUGGUACAGGUCCACAGCCAUCCCUGGCGAAGGGGUAACUGUUGUAAACCACUGGGCACCCUUUAUCUGUGUACCCCUCCUUAUGCUGCACACACUCAAGCAUUCAUCAUCUUCUCUCCCAGAGGUCAGAGAAUACCAUUGUUGCUAGCUAAGCACAGGAAACACACUUUUAUUUAUUUAUUUUUUAUCUCUGGAUCUUAAGGCCCUGUUCGAGUAACUGGCAUACUGUAACUGAUUGGAAAAUGGCUCUUGAAUACUUGCUGGAUGAACCAAAAGUGCCUUCAAAUGCCAGGUAGACAGCUCAGUUAUCUUGCUUGCCGAGAAAAGCUACUGACUUGAGUUCAAAACCCAGAACCCGUGUAAAGGUGGAAGGAGAGAACCAACUUCAUAAACUUGUAUUCUGACCCUCCAUUCUUGCUCCUCUCUCUCUCUGAAGUUAAAAAAACAGUGCUUUCAAGAAAUUUGUAGCUCUUGGCAAGAACCUGUGUUCUCAGACAUUUGAAAGCCUAACCUUGACAUGUUCAGUCUGACACGAGUGACAGGCAAGAACUGGCUUGAACUGGUGGAGACUGAACAACUGAUCAGGACAAGUUUCACUAAGCAAGACAGUAUCUCCCAUAGGCCUGUGGAGGACCCUUUACCUGAGACCCAGCUCCUUGAGUGUUUGGGGAAAGUAGGUAAAAUGUUGAGUGCUUUCUAGUGUGCUCCCUCUCCAUCCCUUGAAGACACAAGAGUUCGCUCACUCACUCAUUUACUUAUGCACUUAUCCAGUCCCUCACUCACUGUCUUUAGGUCCUGCUCCACGCGGAGAGCCCUGGCAGCCCUCCUCUCUGCCACAUCCUCCUUGCAGGUGCUCAACCCUGGCUCAGCAUGCAGCUUCCCCUCUGCCCUGUCCUUGUACACUCCAGCCCAUUUUUGAAAGAUGCCCCAUCCUCCUGUAUGGCUGAUGUGUUCAGUGCUGACCUCAGAGUCUGACAGAAAGACUGAUGAGGCAGUCCUAGGAAGGGCUUCAAGGUUACCCGCCAAUUCUCCAUCAGUCUCUGGCACUCUGAAGGCCAGGGGACUCUCUAUGGUGACGCCAACUGCACAGAAACAUCAUAUCUCUGUGAUUUCUACAUCACUCCUGAGAAGCAUUAAUUGGCCAAGCCUCCUGCAGGCCGUCCUCAGAAGAGUGGUCAGGUAAGAGGGCUCAUGGACUAUAGCUUAGGGUUAUAGCCUGGACCAUCGCAGACAACCAGUUCGAGGCUAAAGCUAUAUUGACCAGCUAUGACCUACUGGAGCAGGCUCUUCCACUUUCAAAGCCACAGGCAACUGGAAUACAGAGGGUGCCUGUCUUAAAGAGAUGUGGCCUGGAUUCAUUGACCAGAGGUAUUAUAAAUCACUCAACAAGGACCAGGCUGUGGGGGCUGCUUUCUGGAUGUGUCUGUAAGUUCAAGAAAAAGAAAAUCACAUCAUGUAUAGAGUAUCACUACUGUUAACUAUCUUUUAUCAAGAGUUUAUCCAGGUUAACUGUAACAGCUCGUGUAUAGGUGACUGUUACACACAUACUAAGGGUCCUCAAACAUGCUAGCUCCUUAGAUGAUUAAAGUGAGUCUUUGCUAUGGUGCUGUAUAUUUAAGCUUCUUUUUUCUUUUCUUUUGCUUUUGAGACGAAGGUCUUGUGUGUCUCGGGCUGGCCUCAACCUUACUGUACUGGUUAGUUUUGUCAACUUGAUACAAGCUAGGGUCCUCUAGGGAGAGGGAACCUCAACUGAGAAAGUGACCCCAUCAGUGAGCCUGUAGGGAAGCUGGCAUUUUCUUGAUUAGUGAUUGCUGCAUCAGAGUCCAGCCCCCCAUGGGCCGUGCCACCUCUGGGCAGGUGGUCUUAAGAAACUAGGCGGAGUGAGCCAUGGGUAACAAGGCAAAAGCAGCACCCCUCUGCUGUCUCGGUUUAGUUCCUGCCUCCAGGCUCUUGCCUUGAGCCCCUGCCCUGACUUCCCUCGGCGAUGGAGUGUGACCUGAGACUGACAAGCUGCAAUAAACCUUUUCCUCUCCAACUUGCUUUGGGUCACGGUGUUUAUAAAAGCAAUAGAAAGCAAACUAAGCAAAUGGACUUGAACUUCUGAUCCCCCUCCCAAGUGCUGGGGGGUAUAGUCAUGAAACACCAUGGUCCUUUUUCUUUCUUUUCUUUUUCUUUCUUGUGACAGAAGAGUCUCACCAUGUAGACCAGGCUGGCCUCAAAAUCACAGAAACCCGUCUUUCUCUGUACUCUGAGUGCUGGGAUUAAAGGAUUG